rnacentral:rRNA from 1 species
GAUGAACGCUGGCGGCGUGCCUAAUACAUGCAAGUCGAGCGAACGGACGAGAAGCUUGCUUCUCUGAUGUUAGCGGCGGACGGGUGAGUAACACGUGGAUAACCUACCUAUAAGACUGGGAUAACUUCGGGAAACCGGAGCUAAUACCGGAGAAUAUUUUGAACCGCAUGGUUCAAAAGUGAAAGACGGUCUUUCUGUCACUUAUAGAUGGAUCCGCGCUGCAUUAGCUAGUUGGUAAGGUAACGGCUUACCAAGGCAACGAUGCAUAGCCGACCUGAGAGGGUGAUCGGCCACACUGGAACUGAGACACGGUCCAGACUCCUACGGGAGGCAGCAGUAGGGAAUCUUACGCAAUGGGCGAAAGCCUGACGGAGCAACGCCGAGUGAGUGAUGAAGGUCUUCGGAUCGUAAAACUCUGUUAUUAGGGAAGAACAUAUGUGUAAGUAACUGUGCACAUCUUGACGGUACCUAAUCAGAAAGCCACGGCUAACUACGUG